UUAAGCGACUAAGCGUACACGGUGGAUGCCCUGGCAGUCAGAGGCGAUGAAGGACGUGCUAAUCUGCGAUAAGCGUCGGUAAGGUGAUAUGAACCGUUAUAACCGGCGAUUUCCGAAUGGGGAAACCCAGUGUGAUUCGUCACACUAUCAUUAACUGAAUCCAUAGGUUAAUGAGGCGAACCGGGGGAACUGAAACAUCUAAGUACCCCGAGGAAAAGAAAUCAACCGAGAUUCCCCCAGUAGCGGCGAGCGAACGGGGAGCAGCCCAGAGCCUGAAUCAGUGUGUGUGUUAGUGGAAGCGUCUGGAAAGGCGCGCGAUACAGGGUGACAGCCCCGUACACAAAAAUGCACAUGCUGUGAGCUCGAUGAGUAGGGCGGGACACGUGGUAUCCUGUCUGAAUAUGGGGGGACCAUCCUCCAAGGCUAAAUACUCCUGACUGACCGAUAGUGAACCAGUACCGUGAGGGAAAGGCGAAAAGAACCCCGGCGAGGGGAGUGAAAAAGAACCUGAAACCGUGUACGUACAAGCAGUGGGAGCACGCUUAGGCGUGUGACUGCGUACCUUUUGUAUAAUGGGUCAGCGACUUAUAUUCUGUAGCAAGGUUAACCGAAUAGGGGAGCCGAAGGGAAACCGAGUCUUAACUGGGCGUUAAGUUGCAGGGUAUAGACCCGAAACCCGGUGAUCUAGCCAUGGGCAGGUUGAAGGUUGGGUAACACUAACUGGAGGACCGAACCGACUAAUGUUGAAAAAUUAGCGGAUGACUUGUGGCUGGGGGUGAAAGGCCAAUCAAACCGGGAGAUAGCUGGUUCUCCCCGAAAGCUAUUUAGGUAGCGCCUCGUGAAUUCAUCUCCGGGGGUAGAGCACUGUUUCGGCAAGGGGGUCAUCCCGACUUACCAACCCGAUGCAAACUGCGAAUACCGGAGAAUGUUAUCACGGGAGACACACGGCGGGUGCUAACGUCCGUCGUGAAGAGGGAAACAACCCAGACCGCCAGCUAAGGUCCCAAAGUCAUGGUUAAGUGGGAAACGAUGUGGGAAGGCCCAGACAGCCAGGAUGUUGGCUUAGAAGCAGCCAUCAUUUAAAGAAAGCGUAAUAGCUCACUGGUCGAGUCGGCCUGCGCGGAAGAUGUAACGGGGCUAAACCAUGCACCGAAGCUGCGGCAGCGACGCUUAUGCGUUGUUGGGUAGGGGAGCGUUCUGUAAGCCUGCGAAGGUGUGCUGUGAGGCAUGCUGGAGGUAUCAGAAGUGCGAAUGCUGACAUAAGUAACGAUAAAGCGGGUGAAAAGCCCGCUCGCCGGAAGACCAAGGGUUCCUGUCCAACGUUAAUCGGGGCAGGGUGAGUCGACCCCUAAGGCGAGGCCGAAAGGCGUAGUCGAUGGGAAACAGGUUAAUAUUCCUGUACUUGGUGUUACUGCGAAGGGGGGACGGAGAAGGCUAUGUUGGCCGGGCGACGGUUGUCCCGGUUUAAGCGUGUAGGCUGGUUUUCCAGGCAAAUCCGGAAAAUCAAGGCUGAGGCGUGAUGACGAGGCACUACGGUGCUGAAGCAACAAAUGCCCUGCUUCCAGGAAAAGCCUCUAAGCAUCAGGUAACAUCAAAUCGUACCCCAAACCGACACAGGUGGUCAGGUAGAGAAUACCAAGGCGCUUGAGAGAACUCGGGUGAAGGAACUAGGCAAAAUGGUGCCGUAACUUCGGGAGAAGGCACGCUGAUAUGUAGGUGAAGUCCCUCGCGGAUGGAGCUGAAAUCAGUCGAAGAUACCAGCUGGCUGCAACUGUUUAUUAAAAACACAGCACUGUGCAAACACGAAAGUGGACGUAUACGGUGUGACGCCUGCCCGGUGCCGGAAGGUUAAUUGAUGGGGUCAGCGCAAGCGAAGCUCUUGAUCGAAGCCCCGGUAAACGGCGGCCGUAACUAUAACGGUCCUAAGGUAGCGAAAUUCCUUGUCGGGUAAGUUCCGACCUGCACGAAUGGCGUAAUGAUGGCCAGGCUGUCUCCACCCGAGACUCAGUGAAAUUGAACUCGCUGUGAAGAUGCAGUGUACCCGCGGCAAGACGGAAAGACCCCGUGAACCUUUACUAUAGCUUGACACUGAACAUUGAGCCUUGAUGUGUAGGAUAGGUGGGAGGCUUUGAAGUGUGGACGCCAGUCUGCAUGGAGCCGACCUUGAAAUACCACCCUUUAAUGUUUGAUGUUCUAACGUUGACCCGUGAUCCGGGUUGCGGACAGUGUCUGGUGGGUAGUUUGACUGGGGCGGUCUCCUCCUAAAGAGUAACGGAGGAGCACGAAGGUUGGCUAAUCCUGGUCGGACAUCAGGAGGUUAGUGCAAUGGCAUAAGCCAGCUUGACUGCGAGCGUGACGGCGCGAGCAGGUGCGAAAGCAGGUCAUAGUGAUCCGGUGGUUCUGAAUGGAAGGGCCAUCGCUCAACGGAUAAAAGGUACUCCGGGGAUAACAGGCUGAUACCGCCCAAGAGUUCAUAUCGACGGCGGUGUUUGGCACCUCGAUGUCGGCUCAUCACAUCCUGGGGCUGAAGUAGGUCCCAAGGGUAUGGCUGUUCGCCAUUUAAAGUGGUACGCGAGCUGGGUUUAGAACGUCGUGAGACAGUUCGGUCCCUAUCUGCCGUGGGCGCUGGAGAACUGAGGGGGGCUGCUCCUAGUACGAGAGGACCGGAGUGGACGCAUCACUGGUGUUCGGGUUGUCAUGCCAAUGGCACUGCCCGGUAGCUAAAUGCGGAAGAGAUAAGUGCUGAAAGCAUCUAAGCACGAAACUUGCCCCGAGAUGAGUUCUCCCUGACUCCUUGAGAGUCCUGAAGGAACGUUGAAGACGACGACGUUGAUAGGCCGGGUGUGUAAGCGCAGCGAUGCGUUGAGCUAACCGGUACUAAUGAACCGUGAGGCUUAACCU
rnacentral:rRNA from 1 species